rnacentral:rRNA from 1 species
UACGGGGGGAGCAAGCGUUGUUCGGAUUUACUGGGCGUAAAGGGCGCGUAGGCGGCCACCGCAAGUCGACUGUGAAAUCUCCGGGCUUAACCCGGAAAGGUCAGCCGAUACUGCGGGCUAGAGUGCAGAAGGGGCAACUGGAAUUCUCGGUGUAGCGGUGAAAUGCGCAGAUAUCAGGAAGAACACCAACGGCGAAGGCAGCUCGCUGGGACGGUACUGACGCUGAGACGCGAAAGCGUGGGGAGCGAACAGG